ACAAGGAAACUAACCUGAGGCAGGACCGUGGCACUGAAGGAGUCUCCCUGGAUGCAGCAAAGGUGGAGACCUUGUCCAAGAAAAAUGCUGGACGGGCCUUUACCCCAAAGAGGAAAGCUGGGUCAUGGAACAAGGAAAUGAAUUACAUCAAGUGAAAAUGCACAUCUGAUGCCCAGUCCAGACCAAGCACGUCUGUUCCUGCUGACUUCGAAUGAUUGUCAAGUGGCUGGACUCAGAUGUUAGCCGUCUGUCAUUGCUGCUAAUAACAUAUUCAUGUACAAAAACAACAGAGGGGUAUCUAGGCAGCUGGAGCCCUCUGUGUUCCGGACUACAGAUUCGGGGACCCAAAGAUGAGAAAACUCACGAUAGAAGGAAAUUGAAUCGUUUGCUCAAGAUUAAAUACUGGCCAAGUUCAGACCAAGCACCUUGUCAACAUGGGCAAAACUUCAAAAUUUUCUUCAGAGUCACGCACUGAGAAACAGUUUAUGGAUAAAGUAAGCUUUAUAAACAAUUCCCCAAAGACAUUGGACUGUGCCUUAAAGAGAAAAAUGAGGAUCAAUGAGGACGGAGACUCUGCACAGGACAUUGAUUACGCAUGCCUGAAGACUGUUAUUUGAAAUCCUUCUGAUGUGUCACUGUUAGGACGACAGUGAUCACUACAUGCUAAUAUUUGUUAAAUGCCAGGAAUUCCUUCAGACACUAUUAGAGAAGGGCAAGGAAGAUUCUCGAGGGCUAAUCAAGCUCUUAGAGAAUUCAGUUAGUAGUGACCAUUUGCAAUACUGCAAUUGCAAUACUGUGCUCUCCAGUGAGCUGACAAGGCCAGCCAAGGCAAAGUGGAGAGGAAGUGGUGCUUUGUGGCAGAGGACCUAGAAUCAGUACCUGGUGUCUCUACCUCCAUGGGCACACGGCCAGUCCUAGGCUAUCACGAAGAAGCAAUGGUACUCAAUGUUCCUUAAGAAACAACAUCCUUAAUGUGAGAAAAUAAAAAGCCAUUGGAAACCUCUACUUGCUCUGAGCAGGCCAUUUUCUAAAAGCAACUUUGGUAUAUAACUUUGUAUAAUUAGGUAUGUUUUGGGGGGUUGUCUUGCCAUUACUUCCUUCAGUCCAUUAAUAUGGAUAAAGCAUCUCUCACCACACCAUCAGCUUAAACUGUUGAAUCCUGCCUAAUAGCCUGAGCCAAGUUAAUGGAUGAAGUCCCUGGAGAAUUUUUCAGGUGAAGGAGAAGCAGGAGGCUGCUACCCAAGAGAAGACAGAGGUGUUAAAGCUGCUUUUUUGUUUUGUGUUUUUACCUCAAUGCAGUAUAAAAUCAACAUUUAAGAUACAGAUAAAAUUCUUUAUAUAAUUAGCUUAGACCGUAAUAUCCUUCUAAUUGUCACUUUUCUAUGAAACCGUCUUUAACCAUUUAUUUGCCUUUAUGGUACUUAAUCACGUUGGCCCACUCCUUACAAAUUUCAGUAAUGAUUCCAAAUCAGUACAGUAAGGAA
rnacentral:lncRNA from 1 species